rnacentral:rRNA from 1 species
UGGGGGAUAUUGCACAAUGGGCGAAAGCCUGAUGCAGCGACGCCGCGUGGGGGAUGAAGGCCUUCGGGUUGUAAACUUCUUUUGCUCUGAACAAGGCGCACCAUGGGGUGUGUUGAGUGUAGGGGUUGAUUAGCGCCGGCUAACUACGUGCCAGCAGCCGCGGUAAUACGUAGGGCGCGAGCGUUGUCCGGAAUUAUUGGGCGUAAAGGGCUUGUAGGUGGCUGGUUGCGUCUGUCGUGAAAGCUCAUGGCUUAACUGUGUGUUUGCGGUGGGUACUGGCUGGCUUAAGUGCAGUAGGGGAGGCUGGAAUUCCUGGUGUAGCGGUGGAAUGCGCAGAUAUCAGGAGGAAUACCGGUGGCGAAGGCGGGUCUCUGGGCUGUUACUGACACUGAGGAGCGAAAGCAUGGGGAGCGAACAGG